GAUGAACGCUAGCGGCAGGCCUAACACAUGCAAGUCGAGGGGCAGCAGUGGCGUAGCGAUACGCUGAUGGCGACCGGCGCACGGGUGCGUAACGCGUAUGCAACCUGUCCGGCGCGAGGGGGGUAGCCCGUCGAAAGGCGGGGUAAUCCCGCAUGAACCGGUAUUCCCGCAUGGGGGUGCCGGCAAAGUGGAGACGCGGGGCCGGAGGGGCAUGCGUGCCAUUAGCUGGCUGGAGGGGUAACGGCCCACCAGGGCGAUGAUGGCUAGGGGGUCUGAGAGGAUGGUCCCCCACACUGGUACUGAGACACGGACCAGACUCCUACGGGAGGCAGCAGUGAGGAAUAUUGGUCAAUGGGCGGAAGCCUGAACCAGCCAUGCCGCGUGCGGGACGACGGCCCUACGGGUUGUAAACCGCUUUUGCAGAGGAGCAACAAGGGGGUUUCGCACCCCCCGACGAGCGUACCCUGCGAAUCAGCACCGGCUAACUCCGUG
rnacentral:rRNA from 1 species